CAGUCGCCGCGGUAAUACGAAGGGGGCUAGCGUUGUUCGGAUUAACUGGGCGUAAAGGGCGCGUAGGCGGGUUUUUAAGUCAGAGGUGAAAUCCCAAGGCUCAACCUGGGACCCGCAUUUGUGACUGUAUAGCUAGAGUACGGUAGAGGGGGAUGGAAUUCCGCGUGUAGCAGUGAAAUGCGUAGAGAUCGGAAGGAACAUCAGUGGCGAAGGCGGCCAUCUGGGACAACACUGACGCUGAAGCACGAAAGCGUGGGGAGCAAACAGGAUUAGAUACCCCAGUAGUCCCUGUCUCUUAUAC
rnacentral:rRNA from 1 species